UAUCACUUGCCACGUCGGCACGCUGCGUAGUAAAAUGUAUAUUUUUCGGUUGAUUUGUAAUACACACGUGUUUAGAUAGGUUAGUCGUUAGUUUGUUUACAAAUUAUUACAACAGAGCAGUAGAUUGUUUUAUAACUGCGAAAACUGUACAGUAUUGUUUAGUGUGAGUUCAAUAUAAUAUUAUCUCAUAAUGGCUAAUAGUGAAAAGAGUGAUGGAAAAAAGAAAAAAAAGGGAAGGAUGUACGAGAUGAAAAGCAGAGAACAAAAAAGCAAAAACAAAACAGGAAUAAUCCUGUGACUAAACGCCUGUACUUGGUGACAUCCAUUGUUUUCUUCUUUAAAAAGUGGACAUUACGCGACUAAUUUUUUAUUUUCUUAAAAACAAUUUAACUCUUAUGCUUUGUUUACAUUAGUUUAUAUUAUCAAUACAUUUUUCUAUCAUUA